rnacentral:rRNA from 1 species
GAUGAACGCUGGCGGCGUGCCUAAUACAUGCAAGUCGAGCGAACGGACGAGAAGCUUGCUUCUCUGAUGUUAGCGGCGGACGGGUGAGUAACACGUGGAUAACCUACCUAUAAGACUGGGAUAACUUCGGGAAACCGGAGCUAAUACCGGAUAAUAUUUUGAACCGCAUGGUUCAAAAGUGAAAGACGGUCUUGCUGUCACUUAUAGAUGGAUCCGCGCUGCAUUAGCUAGUUGGUAAGGUAACGGCUUACCAAGGCAACGAUGCAUAGCCGACCUGAGAGGGUGAUCGGCCACACUGGAACUGAGACACGGUCCAGACUCCUACGGGAGGCAGCAGUAGGGAAUCUUCCGCAAUGGGCGAAAACCUGACGGAGCAACGCCGCGUGAGAGAUGAAGGUCUUCGGAUCGUAAAACUCUGUUAUUAGGGAAAAACAUAUGUGUAAGUAACUGUGCACAUCUUGACGGUACCUAAUCAGAAAGCCACGGCUAACUACGUG